rnacentral:lncRNA from 1 species
UGGCAAGAAACUGUAGAAGCUACAGUCAUCGGUAGCAAAGAAACACAAGAAAAUGUGCUAAUAAAAGCUAUAAAUAACCCUCGUACGCCUAUGCACAUCUCCAUCACCACCACUGGUCUUCAUUCAGCCUAUUAACUUAUAUCUAUCUACUCCAGAGCAGACAAGAACUCGACACCAUGAAGGUGUUGCUCGUUGCCCUCGCUCUCCUGGCUCUCGCGGCGAGCGCCGCCUCCACGCUUACAACCGGCGGCUGCGGCUGCCAGACACCUCAUCUACCACCACCGCCGGUUCAUCUGCCGCCGCCGGUGCAUCUGCCACCGCCGGUGCACCUGCCGCCGCCGGUUCACGUGCCACCGCCGCCACCACAAUGCCACCCACACCCUACUCUACCGCCCCACCCACAUCCAUGCGCUACAUACCCACCGCAUCCAAGCCCGUGCCACCCAGGGCAUCCCGGAUCCUGCGGUGUUGGCGGCGGCCCCGUCAC